GGCUCUAUGGCGGAAUUGGCAGACGCAGAUGACUCAAAAUUAUCCGGCGUAAAAACCAUGGGGGUUCGAAUCCCUUUAGAGCCACCA
rnacentral:tRNA from 1 species